GAUGAACGCUGGCGGCGUGCCUAAUACAUGCAAGUCGAGCGAACAGACGAGGAGCUUGCUCCUCUGACGUUAGCGGCGGACGGGUGAGUAACACGUGGAUAACCUACCUAUAAGACUGGGAUAACUUCGGGAAACCGGAGCUAAUACCGGAUAAUAUAUUGAACCGCAUGGUUCAAUAGUGAAAGACGGUUUUGCUGUCACUUAUAGAUGGAUCCGCGCCGCAUUAGCUAGUUGGUAAGGUAACGGCUUACCAAGGCGACGAGGCGUAGCCGACCUGAGAGGGUGAUAGGCCACACUGGAACUGAGACACGGUCCAGACUCCUACGGGAGGCAGCAGUAGGGAAUCGUCCGCAAUGGGCGAAAGCCUGACGGAGCAACGCCGCGUGAGUGAUGAAGGUCUUCGGAUCGUAAAACUCUGUUAUUAGGGAAGAACAAAUGUGUAAGUAACUAUGCACGUCUUGACGGUACCUAAUCAGAAAGCCACGGCUAACUACGUG
rnacentral:rRNA from 1 species